rnacentral:rRNA from 1 species
UACAGAGGGGGCAAGCGUUGUUCGGAAUUACUGGGCGUAAAGGGCGCGUAGGCGGCCUGUUAAGUCGAACGUGAAAUCCCUGGGCUCAACCCAGGAACUGCGUCCGAUACUGGCAGGCUUGAAUUCGGGAGAGGGAUGCGGAAUUCCAGGUGUAGCGGUGAAAUGCGUAGAUAUCUGGAGGAACACCAAUUGCGAAGGCAGCUCGCUGGGACGUUACUGACGCUGAGACGCGAAAGCGUGGGGAGCAAACAGG